UACGGAGGAUGCAAGCGUUAUCCGGAAUGAUUGGGCGUAAAGAGCUCGUAGGCGGUUUGUCGCGUCGGCUGUGAAAACUCGCAGCUCAACUGUGGGCGUGCAGGCGAUACGGGCAGACUUGAGUACUGCAGGGGAGACUGGAAUUCCUGGUGUAGCGGUGAAAUGCGCAGAUAUCAGGAGGAACACCGGUGGCGAAGGCGGUUCUCUGGGCCUUACCUGACGCUGAGGAGCGAAAGCGUGGGGAGCGAACAGG
rnacentral:rRNA from 1 species